UAUGACGAGUGGCGGACGGGUGAGUAAUGCUUGGGAAUCUAGCUUAUGGAGGGGGAUAACUACGGGAAACUGUAGCUAAUACCGCGUAGUAUCGGAAGAUGAAAGUGUGGGACCUUCGGGCCACAUGCCAUAGGAUGAGCCCAAGUGGGAUUAGGUAGUUGGUGAGGUAACGGCUCACCAAACCUUCGAUGGAUAGGGGUUCUGAGAGGAAGGUCCCCCACAUUGGAACUGAGACACGGUCCAA
rnacentral:rRNA from 1 species